GAUGAACGCUGGCGGCGUGCCUAAUACAUGCAAGUCGAGCGAACAGACGAGGAGCUUGCUCCUCUGACGUUAGCGGCGGACGGGUGAGUAACACGUGGAUAACCUACCUAUAAGACUGGGAUAACUUCGGGAAACCGGAGCUAAUACCGGAUAAUAUAUUGAACCGCAUGGUUCAAUAGUGAAAGACGGUUUUGCUGUCACUUAUAGAUGGAUCCGCGCCGCAUUAGCUAGUUGGUAGGGUAACGGCUUACCAAGGCAACGAUGCGUAGACGACCUGAGAGGGUGAUCGGCCACACUGGAACUGAGACACGGUCCAGACUCCUACGGGAGGCAGCAGUAGGGAAUCUUCCGCAAUGGGCGAAAGCCUGACGGAGCAACGCCGCGUGAGUGAUGAAGGUCUUCGGAUCGGAAAACUCUGUUAUUAGGGAAGAACAAAUGUGUAAGUAACUAUGCACGUCUUGACGGUACCUAAUCAGAAAGCCACGGCUAACUACGUG
rnacentral:rRNA from 1 species